rnacentral:rRNA from 1 species
GCUACUCCCUUCCCGGGGGCAGCAGUGGGGAAUAUUGCACAAUGGGCGCAAGCCUGAUGCAGCGACGCCGCGUGAGGGAUGACGGCCUUCGGGUUGUAAACCUCUUUCAGUAGGGAAGAAGCGUAAGUGACGGUACCUGCAGAAGAAGCGCCGGCUAACUACGUGCCAGCAGCCGCGGUAAUACGUAGGGCGCAAGCGUUAUCCGGAAUUAUUGGGCGUAAAGAGCUCGUAGGCGGUUUGUCGCGUCUGCCGUGAAAGUCCGGGGCUCAACUCCGGAUCUGCGGUGGGUACGGGCAGACUAGAGUGAUGUAGGGGAGACUGGAAUUCCUGGUGUAGCGGUGAAAUGCGCAGAUAUCAGGAGGAACACCGAUGGCGAAGGCAGGUCUCUGGGCAUUAACUGACGCUGAGAGCUAGCUGCCC